rnacentral:rRNA from 1 species
ACGAACGCUGGCGGCGUGCCUAACACAUGCAAGUCGAACGGAGCAGCAAUGCUCAGUGGCGAACGGGUGCGUAACACGUGAGGAACAUGUCUAUCGGCGGGGGAUAGCCGGCCCAACGGCCGGGUAAUACCGCGUACGACCUUCGGGGGGCAUCUCCUGGGGGUGAGAGCAGCAAUGCGCCGAUAGGGUGCCUCGCGGCCUAUCAGCUAGUUGGCGGGGUAACGGCCCACCAAGGCUACGACGGGUAGCUGGUCCGAGAGGAUGACCAGCCACAUUGGGACUGAGACACGGCCCAGACUCCUACGGGAGGCAGCAGUGGGGAAUCUUGCGCAAUGGGCGAAAGCCUGACGCAGCGACGCCGCGUGUGGGAUGACGGCCUUCGGGUUGUAAACCACUGUCGGGAGGGACGAAGAUCUGACGGUACCUCCAAAGGAAGCACCGGCUAACUCUGU